rnacentral:rRNA from 1 species
CGCCCUUCGGGGCGAGUGGCGGACGGGUGAGUAACACGUGGGAACGUGCCCUUUGGUUCGGAAUAACUCAGGGAAACUUGAGCUAAUACCGGAUGAGCCCUACGGGGGAAAGAUUUAUCGCCAAAGGAGCGGCCCGCGUCUGAUUAGCUAGUUGGUGAGGUAAAGGCUCACCAAGGCUACGAUCAGUAGCUGGUCUGAGAGGAUGAUCAGCCACACUGGGACUGAGACACGGCCCAGACUCCUACGGGAGGCAGCAGUGGGGAAUCUUGCGCAAUGGGCGAAAGCCUGACGCAGCCAUGCCGCGUGGAUGAUGAAGGUCUUAGGAUUGUAAAAUCCUUUCACCGGGGACGAUAAUGACGGUACCCGGAGAAGAAGCCCCGGCUAACUUCGUGCCAGCAGCCGCGGUAAUACGAAGGGGGCUAGCGUUGCUCGGAAUUACUGGGCGUAAAGGGCGCGUAGGCGGACAGUUUAGUCGGGGGUGAAAGCCCGGGGCUCAACCUCGGAAUUGCCUUCGAUACUGGCUGUCUUGAGUACGGGAGAGGUGUGUGGAACUCCGUGUGUAGAGGUGAAAUUCGUAGAUAUUCGGAAGAACACCAGUGGCGA